rnacentral:rRNA from 1 species
GACAGAGGGUGCAAACGUUGUUCGGAAUUACUGGGCGUAAAGCGAGUGUAGGCGGUUUGGAAAGUCGGAUGUGAAAGCCCCGGGCUCAACCCGGGAAGUGCACUCGAUACUACCAAGCUAGAGUAUCGGAGAGGUUGGCGGAAUUCUCGGUGUAGAGGUGAAAUUCGUAGAUAUCGAGAGGAACACCGGCGGCGAAGGCGGCCAACUGGACGAAUACUGACGCUGAGACUCGAAAGCGUGGGGAGCAAACAGG